rnacentral:rRNA from 1 species
UAGGGAAUCUUCGGCAAUGGACGAAAGUCUGACCGAGCAACGCCGCGUGAGCGAAGAAGGUUUUCGGAUCGUAAAACUCUGUUGUUAGAGAAGAACAAGGACGUUAGUAACUGAACGUCCCCUGACGGUAUCUAACCAGAACGCCACGGCUAACUACGUGCCAGCAGCCGCGGUACUCCGUAGGUGGCAAGCGUUGUCCGGAUUUAUUGGUCGUAAAGCGAGCGCAGGCGGUUUCUUAAGUCUGAUGUGAAAGCCCCCGGCGCAACCGGGGAGGGUCAUUGGAAACUGGGAGAAUUGAGUGCAGAAGAGGAGAGUGGAGUUCCAUGUGUAGCGGUGAAAUGAGUAGUUAUAUGGAGGAACACCAGGGGCGAAGGCGGCUCUCUGAUCUGUAACUGACGAUGAGGAUCGAAAGCGUGGGGAGCAAACGGA